rnacentral:piRNA from 1 species
UAAAUUAAAGGGCAGGAACUCUAUGGG